AGAGUUUGAUCCUGGCUCAGAUUGAACGCUGGCGGCAUGCCUUACACAUGCAAGUCGAACGGCAGCACGGGAGCAAUCCUGGUGGCGAGUGGCGAACGGGUGAGUAAUAUAUCGGAACGUGCCCAGUCGUGGGGGAUAACGUAGCGAAAGCUACGCUAAUACCGCAUACGAUCUAUGGAUGAAAGCGGGGGAUCGCAAGACCUCGCGCGAUUGGAGCGGCCGAUAUCAGAUUAGGUAGUUGGUGGGGUAAAGGCUCACCAAGCCGACGAUCUGUAGCUGGUCUGAGAGGACGACCAGCCACACUGGGACUGAGACACGGCCCAGACUCCUACGGGAGGCAGCAGUGGGGAAUUUUGGACAAUGGGCGCAAGCCUGAUCCAGCAAUGCCGCGUGCAGGAUGAAGGCCUUCGGGUUGUAAACUGCUUUUGUACGGAGCGAAAAGGCUCUCUCUAAUACAGGGGGCUCAUGACGGUACCGUAAGAA
rnacentral:rRNA from 1 species